rnacentral:rRNA from 1 species
CCUACGGGAGGCAGCAGUCGGGAAUCUUGGGCAAUGGGCGCAAGCCUGACCCAGCAACGCCGCGUGAAGGAUGAAGUAUUUCGGUAUGUAAACUUCGAAAGAAUAGGAAGAAUUAAUGACGGUACUAUUUAUAAGGUCCGGCUAACUACGUGCCAGCAGCCGCGGUAAUACGUAGGGACCAAGCGUUGUUCGGAUUUACUGGGCGUGAAGAGCGCGUAGGCGGUUUGGCAAGUCUGGUGUGAAAUCUCACGGCUCAACCGGGAGGCUGCACUGGAUACUGCCGAACUGGAGCACGGUAGAGGGGAUCAGAAUUCCUGGUGUAGCGGUGGAAUGCAUUGAUAUCAGGAGGAAUACCAGUGGCGAAGGCGGAUCCCUGGGCCGUUGCUGACGCUGAGGCGCGAAAGCUGGGGGAGCGAAAGGGAUUAGAUACCCCUGUAGUCCCAGCCCUAAACGAUGGGCGCUAGGUGUCGGCGGUUCAUCCGUCGGUGCCGCAGCUAACGCAUUAAGCGCCCCGCCUGGGGAGUACGGCCGCAAGGUUGAAACUCAAAGGAAUUGACGGGG